GAUGAACGCUGGCGGCGUGCCUAAUACAUGCCAGUCGAGCGAACGGACGAGAAGCUUGCUUCUCUGAUGUUAGCGGCGGACGGGUGAGUAACACGUGGAUAACCUACCUAUAAGACUGGGAUAACUUCGGGAAACCGGAGCUAAUACCGGAUGAUAUUUUGAACCGCAUGGUUCAAAAGUGAAAGACGGUCUUGCUGUCACUUAUAGAUGGAUCCGCGCUGUAUUAGCUAGUUGGUAAGGUAACGGCUUACCAAGGCAACGAUGCAUAGCCGACCUGAGAGGGUGAUCGGCCACACUGGAACUGAGACACGGUCCAGACUCCUACGGGAGGCAGCAGUAGGGAAUCUUCCGCAAUGGGCGAAAGCCUGACGGAGCAACGCCGCGUGAGUGAUGAAGGUCUUCGGAUCGUAAAACUCUGUUAUUAGGGAAGAACAUAUGUGUAAGUAACUGUGCACAUCUUGACGGUACCUAAUCAGAAAGCCACGGCUAACUACGCG
rnacentral:rRNA from 1 species